rnacentral:rRNA from 1 species
GUGUCAGCCGCCGCGGUAAUACGUAGGUGGCAAGCGUUGUCCGGAUUUACUGGGCGUAAAGAGCGCGCAGGCGGUCGUAUAAGUCGAAUGUGAAAGCCCCUGGCUCAACUAGGGAGAGUCAUUCGAUACUGUUCGACUCGAAGGCAGGAGAGGGAAGUGGAAUUCCGGGUGUAGUGGUGAAAUGCGUAGAUAUCCGGAGGAACACCAGUGGCGAAGGCGACUUUCUGGCCUGUUCUUGACGCUGAGGCGCGAAAGCUAGGGGAGCAAACGGGAUUAGAUACCCCGGUAGUCCUAGCCGUAAACGAUGGACACUAGGUGUUGGUGGUAUCAACCCCGCCAGUGCCGUAGCUAACGCAUUAAGUGUCCCGCCUGGGGAGUACGGCCGCAAGGCUAAA